AUGACGGCAUCGGCCUACUUCACGAAGAUGAAGGGGAUUGCUGAUGAGAUGGUUGCAAUUGGUAAGAAGAUUGAUGAUGAUGAUUUAAUCUUGCAGAUUCUUUCUGGACUCGACAACGACUACAACCCGUUCGUGUCUGCAAUCUCGGCCACAACUGCUCGAGGGCACCCCAUCUCUCUCGGUGACCUGUACGGGCAGCUUCUGGCGGCUGAGAGUUGCCUCGAGGCCCUGGCUCAUGGCGGAUAUUAUUCUGCCAACCUCGCUAACAAAGGAGGGCGUGGCCCCUCCAACAGCGGCAACCGCAGGAAUAACGACGGGAACAGCGGCUAUGGUGGUCGCAGCGGUUAUGAUGGCCGCGGGAGUAGCAACGGUGGUGGCUACCAGAACAAGCCACCAAAAUAA
rnacentral:rRNA from 1 species